rnacentral:rRNA from 1 species
AGGGAAUAUUGGACAAUGGGCGAAAGCCUGAUCCAGCAAUGCCGCGUGAGUGAUGAAGGCCUUAGGGUUGUAAAGCUCUUUUACCCGAGAUGAUAAUGACAGUAUCGGGAGAAUAAGCUCCGGCUAACUCCGUGCCAGCAGCCGCGGUAAUACGGAGGGAGCUAGCGUUGUUCGGAAUUACUGGGCGUAAAGCGCACGUAGGCGGCGAUUUAAGUCAGAGGUGAAAGCCCGGGGCUCAACCCCGGAACUGCCUUUGAGACUGGAUUGCUAGAAUCUUGGAGAGGCGAGUGGAAUUCCGAGUGUAGAGGUGAAAUUCGUAGAUAUUCGGAAGAACACCAGUGGCGAAGGCGGCUCGCUGGACAAGUAUUGACGCUGAGGUGCGAAAGCGUGGGGAGCAAAC